CCUACGGGAGGCAGCAGUGGGGAAUAUUGGACAAUGGGCGAAAGCCUGAUCCAGCCAUGCCGCGUGUGUGAAGAAGGCCUUCGGGUUGUAAAGCACUUUCAGUGGGGAAGAAAGCCUUGGGGCUAAUACCCUCGAGGAAGGACAUCACCCACAGAAGAAGCACCGGCUAACUCCGUGCCAGCAGCCGCGGUAAUACGGAGGGUGCGAGCGUUAAUCGGAAUUACUGGGCGUAAAGCGCGCGUAGGCGGUCUGAUAAGCCGGUUGUGAAAGCCCCGGGCUCAACCUGGGAACGGCAUCCGGAACUGUCAGGCUAGAGUGCAGGAGAGGAAGGUAGAAUUCCCGGUGUAGCGGUGAAAUGCGUAGAGAUCGGGAGGAAUACCAGUGGCGAAGGCGGCCUUCUGGACUGACACUGACGCUGAGGUGCGAAAGCGUGGGUAGCAAACAGGAUUAGAUACCCCUGUGUC
rnacentral:rRNA from 1 species